rnacentral:rRNA from 1 species
GACGAACGCUGGCGGCGUGCUUAACACAUGCGAGUCGAACGGAAAGGCCCUGCUUUUGUGGGGUGCUCGAGUGGCGAACGGGUGAGUAACACGUGAGUAACCUGCCCUUGACUUUGGGAUAACUUCAGGAAACUGGGGCUAAUACCGGAUAGGAGCUCCUGCUGCAUGGUGGGGGUUGGAAAGUUUCGGCGGUUGGGGAUGGACUCGCGGCUUAUCAGCUUGUUGGUGGGGUAGUGGCUUACCAAGGCUUUGACGGGUAGCCGGCCUGAGAGGGUGACCGGCCACAUUGGGACUGAGAUACGGCCCAGACUCCUACGGGAGGCAGCAGUGGGGAAUAUUGCACAAUGGGCGGAAGCCUGAUGCAGCAACGCCGCGUGCGGGAUGACGGCCUUCGGGUUGGAAACCGCUUUCGCCUGUGACGAAGCGUGAGGGACGGUAAUGGGUAAAGAAGCACCGGCUAACUACGG